GUUAAAGUGGACGGAAGCACGAACGAGACAGCCGUUGAGAUAAGAUACAUUUGGAGUAUCGGUGAAAAAAAGAAAGCAGGAAAGAGAGUUACACGACCGGAUCCGAGAAAAACAUAGCCAGCGCUACAAGGUGUAUGCAGAAGAUUUGAGGCAGAGAAAAAAAAAACAUUACGGGCUGGCAUACAGAAAUUCUAGAAUGAAAAGCAUGCAUAGCGUACCUGAUCAACUCAAGCAGAUAGGGUGACUGUAUUUCGCCGCCUCGUUUCAAAGUGGAUGCCAGUAAAUCGUCACGAUCAUCACCUGACGUCCACGUCUUCGUAAACUGGAUAAUCCGAAAACUGCAAGGUGUUUACAAAUCAGCUCAAACGCCUGAGGAACGCUCGUGUUUACGCAGAGGAGGAGCCGAAAGAUAUCCGAGGCCCGCUUCUCUGUACGGUGGGCGUGCACUUCACGGAGUCAAGAUUGUUGCCGGAGGAUGGGUGGUGCGGUAUCAUCUACAAGUCGUUCUACGUGAAGACAGACCAUCACAGACCAUCCGGUUGGCAAGACCCGGGCCUGGACCACUUUCUGGAGCUUGGGAGUACCAUGAGUAAUACGAGCAUCGGCGUCUCCUUCUCUCCAGUGAAUGUGCUGGUCCUGGCAUCCACUUUCGAAAGCUAGGAAAUGAAGACAACUAAAAGUGCUUCGAGCAUAUUUCAGGUCCUUCGCCUGAUUCAAACAGCGCAGCCCUGAUAACAAGUGCCGCUACAGCCUUUCUCCAAGCCACUGGGCUGGACGCACGGUUUUGGAGAUGCUACAACUCUGUGAACUUGUAUGUACGCAUCUCUUCCUCAUCUCAUCAUCAUCAAUCAUCAGCACUUUUCCUCCCCGUCCCUUUUUCCCAGUGUGGAGUAGCAGGCCAGAGCAAGUUGUAGCUCAGGUCGACCUCUGUGCUUUUCUGUAGAUAAAUCUC